UUGAUCCUGGCUCAGGAUGAACGCUGGCGGUAUGCUUAACACAUGCAAGUCGAACGGGAUGCUUAGGCAUCUAGUGGCGGACGGGUGAGUAACGCGUGAGAAUCUGGCUCCAGGUCGGGGAUAACAGUUGGAAACGACUGCUAAUACCGGAUGUGCCGAAAGGUGAAAGAUUUAUUGCCUGGAGAUGAGCUCGCGUCUGAUUAGCUAGUUGGUGGUGUAAGGGACCACCAAGGCAUCGAUCAGUAGCUGGUCUGAGAGGAUGAUCAGCCACACUGGGACUGAGACACGGCCCAGACUCCUACGGGAGGCAGCAGUGGGGAAUUUUCCGCAAUGGGCGAAAGCCUGACGGAGCAAUACCGCGUGAGGGAGGAAGGCUCUUGGGUCGUAAACCUCUUUUCUCAAGGAAGAAGAAAGUGACGGUACUUGAGGAAUAAGCAUCGGCUAACUCCGUGCCAGCAGCCGCGGUAAUACGGAGGAUGCAAGCGUUAUCCGGAAUGAUUGGGCGUAAAGGGUCUGCAGGUGGAACUGAAAGUCUGCUGUUAAAGAGUUUGGCUUAACCAAAUAGAAGCGGUGGAAACUACAGAACUAGAGUGUGGUAGGGGCAAAAGGAAUUCCUGGUGUAGCGGUGAAAUGCGUAGAUAUCAGGAAGAACACCGGUGGCGAAAGCGUUUUGCUAGACCAUAACUGACACUGAGGGACGAAAGCUAGGGGAGCGAAUGGGAUUAGAUACCCCAGUAGUCCUAGCCGUAAACGAUGGAUACUAGGCGUGGCUUGUAUCGACCCGAGCCGUGCCGGAGCUAACGCGUUAAGUAUCCCGCCUGGGGAGUACGCACGCAAGUGUGAAACUCAAAGGAAUUGACGGGGGCCCGCACAAGCGGUGGAGUAUGUGGUUUAAUUCGAUGCAACGCGAAGAACCUUACCAAGACUUGACAUCCUGCGAAUCCUGGUGAAAGCUGGGAGUGCCUUCGGGAGCGCAGAGACAGGUGGUGCAUGGCUGUCGUCAGCUCGUGUCGUGAGAUGUUGGGUUAAGUCCCGCAACGAGCGCAACCCUCGUUUUUAGUUGCCAGCAUUAAGUUGGGCACUCUAGAGAGACUGCCGGUGACAAACCGGAGGAAGGUGAGGAUGACGUCAAGUCAGCAUGCCCCUUACGUCUUGGGCUACACACGUACUACAAUGCUACGGACAGAGGGCAGCAAGCCAGGGAUGGCAAGCGAAUCCAGAAACCGUAGCUCAGUUCAGAUCGAAGGCUGCAACUCGCCUUCGUGAAGGAGGAAUCGCUAGUAAUUGCAGGUCAGCAUACUGCAGUGAAUUCGUUCCCGGGCCUUGUACACACCGCCCGUCACACCAUGGAAGUUGGUCACGCCCGAAGUCAUUACCCCAACCGAAAGGAGGGGGAUGCCUAAGGUAGGACU
rnacentral:rRNA from 1 species